UACAGAGGUGGCAAGCGUUGUUCGGAAUUACUGGGCGUAAAGGGCGCGUAGGCGGCCUUCUAAGUCGGACGUGAAAGCCCCAGGCUUAACCUGGGAACUGCGUCCGAUACUGGGAGGCUUGGAUUCGGGAGAGGGAUGUGGAAUUCCAGGUGUAGCGGUGAAAUGCGUAGAUAUCGUAAGGAAGACCAGUGGCGAAGGCGGGUCUCUGGACAGUUCCUGACGCUGAGGCACGAAGGCCAGGGGAGCAAACGGG
rnacentral:rRNA from 1 species